rnacentral:rRNA from 1 species
AGCGAACGCUGGCGGCAGGCCUAACACAUGCAAGUCGAACGAAGUCUUCGGACUUAGUGGCGGACGGGUGAGUAACACGUGGGAACGUGCCUUUAGGUUCGGAAUAACUCAGGGAAACUUGUGCUAAUACCGAAUGUGCCCUUCGGGGGAAAGAUUUAUCGCCUUUAGAGCGGCCCGCGUCUGAUUAGCUAGUUGGUGAGGUAAAGGCUCACCAAGGCGACGAUCAGUAGCUGGUCUGAGAGGAUGAUCAGCCACGUUGGGACUGAGACGCGGCCCAAACUCCCACGGGAGGCAGCAGUGGGGAAUCUUGCGCAAUGGGCGAAAGCCUGACGCAGCCAUGCCGCGUGAAUGAUGAAGGUCUUAGGAUUGUAAAAUUCUUUCACCGGGGACGAUAACGACGGUACCCGGAGAAGAAGCCCCGGCUAACUUCGUGCCAGCAGCCGCCGUAAGAC